AAAUAGAAAGUUGGAUACAGGAAUCUGAAGCUCCAUGGGCAAAGUCAAGGCUAGCAUUAUAUAUUUGAAAAUCCUCAGCAUAUCCUAUAUUCAAAGCCAUGGGAUAAAAUCAAAUUAAUUAGGUAGAGGAUGAGCAAAAAGAGAAAAUUAACUGUUGGUUCCCUCAAUAUUCAGAUGAAGAUUCACCGAGAGACUGAGGAGUUACCAAUGAGACAAGAGGAAAACAAGGGGAGUAUGUUCUCAGUGUCCCAAGAAAAUAAAAUCUUAUUAUGAUUUGUAUAUCCUAAAAUAUAGUAAGUUGUGUCCAGAGUGAAGCAUCCAGCUAUUUGUUUUCAAACAAAUUCUGAACUCAAAAUGUCUGUUAUAUUGGAAAUUGAAAGAAAAUUUGAGUGGGAGUAACUAAAUUACCCUUAAGACAUCUCUUCUCUAGAUGAGUCUGUCACUAAGCCUCUUAUUGCAUGAAUCUUAAAUAUGAAUGUAAAAAUAAGCCUUUUUUUGGUGAUGUAUUUAGAACAUGUAGUUAAGUUCUCACAUAAUUCACUUGAAUGUAAAGGGUCCUACUAUUCACAUUUUGCAUUUUUUAGUGGCAAGAACAUAAUUGAUAUUGGAGAUGAAAUGAUUUAAAAAUUAAAUUGGUUAAGGAGAUCUAAUGCAUAUAUAUGAAAUUUAACUUGAUAAUUUAGAAACAAUUAUAUAUGUUUAUAUUAUACAUGUAAAAAAUUAAAUUGGGACAUAAAUUAUUUAGUUAAUGCUAAAAAAGAAUAUGAAAAAAUUACCUAUAUUCCAGAAUUGUAAAUGUAAAUAAAAAUCUCAGUUAAUUUGUCUUCAGUAUGAGCCUAUUUUUUUUUAAGUUACCUUUAUUAACACCUUGCUCUUUCAUAGUUAAAGCUACUAGUCACUCCCCAUUAUUCCACAGGCUUCCUGUCCAUCAGUUUUCAAACUUUAAUGUACAUUAGAAUCAACUGGGGUGCUUUUUGAAAAUACAUACGCCAAGGCUAGAUCUCCAGAAAUUCUUACUAUGUAAGUAGCCAAGAAAUCCAUAUUUUAACAAGUACAUUAAGUGAUUCUAGGCAGGAGAUCUGUAGACCACAUGAGGUAAAACACUGAUUCUAGACCCCAUAUUGCCUGCAUAGGCCACUCGCUUCU
rnacentral:lncRNA from 1 species